UUGUCCUAUUUUAAUGCAGCUAUAUCCAUUGCAUUGUCAAUUCGAUGCACCACACUCCCACAUUUGAUUAAUUUCCCGACAGUCGUCAUAAUUAAAGACAAUCUUAACCCUUUAAGACCCUCUGGGCAUAAUUAUGCACAGUUAUUUCAAGUGUCACCCUCUAGUGGUAUAAGUUUAAACUAGUCUGUAAUAUUACUCUGGAUAAAUAAGUUGUACAGUUUUCUCUAAAGUUUUAUCGAUUUGGGAUACGAUAGAUGGAAGGCGUAUCAGAAUUUUCAUUUAUUUAUUGGCAAUAGCCGCCAUGCACCAAAUCAGCUGUGGGAAAAUGUACGACCCAGAAAAUGAAAAAGAUGUUGCAGUUUUAUUGCAAUUUUUGGAAUCAAUAUCCGACAUUGAACUUAGUGAGGAGGAAUAGGAGUGUAAUAAUUUAUAUAAAUUUGAAGAAUCUCAACCCAGUGCGCAAAAUAUCGUUCGCCUGGGUGCUGACAAAGAAGGGCCCACUACAGUGGAAAUACCGGAGUUGCACUGGGAUGACGAGGAUGACUUGCCCCUGUCAAUUUUUGCUGGUCCCCUACAUCACAACAGUACGAAUUCAGCAAAAUUGUCACGUCGAAAGAAUCUAUAAAAUGGACUAAAGAUGAUUUUUUACCCCCCGACUUUGUAUGGAAAGAAGAAACUACAACUUCAGAUAAAAUAAAAAGCUUGUUUGGUCUACACAUUAUAGCAGGGUGCUUGAAGUUUCCGCAAGUACCUUUAUAUUAGAAUAAAACUUUUAUGUAUAUUAGAAUAAAACUUUUAUAUUUUUUCCCCAAAAGCGUAUCAACAUUUUUGGGGAAAAAAUGUCAAGAGAUCGUUUUUUUCAACUUCGUUCUAACUUGCAUUGUGUAAACAACUUAGACAUUCCCAAAGAUACAACAGAUAAAUGUUAUAAGGUAAGACCUUUAUAUGAAAGUAUUCGAAAACGAUGUCUGGAAUUGAAAUUGGAAGAGAAUCUUUGCAUCGACGAGCAGAUUAUUCCCUUUAGAGGACAUUUUUCUGUUGUUCAAUACAUAAAAAACAAACCUACACCCUGGGGAAUAAAAUCGUUUGUUCUAUGUGGAAAAUCGGGAAUAGCCUAUGACUUUAUUUUAUACCAAGGCGGGUCUACAGGAUUGAGUGCCGAUUUAAUGAAAAGGUUUGGAUUUGGUGCCACAAUAGUACUUCAACUUUCCAAAAGAAUAACAAAUGAAGGGCACAAACUAUACUUUGACAACUAUUUUUCUUCCUAUGCUGCCCUUCAAUGGAUGGACUACGGAUUGACAAUCGUAGUGUAGUUUUGGCUUCAAAUUUUGUCGGUGUUGGGAAUGAAGAUACUGUUGUUAGAUGGGUUAAGAAUAAAAAAUGCUAUAUAGAUGUACCAAGACCAGAAAUCGUAAAACUUUAUACCCAUUCUAUGGGCGGUGUUGAUGUUCUGGAUCAGAUGAUAAGUUUGUAUAGAAUUUAUAUUCGUUCAAGAAAAUGGACCCUAAGAAUGAUUUUUCAUGCAGUGGAUUUUCCUGCAGUAAAUAGUUGGUUUGAAUAUCGACAAGAUUGUAAGAUCCUCAAUAUUCCAAUAAAAGAACAAUUAUCACUUUUGGAAUUCAAAAUGCGGCUUGGUGAAAGUUUAAUCAAGGCAAAUAAGACAGUUCAAGAUAAUAAAAGAGAUAGACCUAGUGGCAGCGAGACACUACCAAUACCGCGAAAAAAACAAAGAUUAGGACAUGAAGAAACCAGAGCUAUUACUGCAAUUCGGUAUAAUAGUGUUGAUCAUAUGCCUCAACUUAAUGGAGCCAAAGAAGGAAAACGAUGCAAGUACUCAAAUUGCAAUAAGACUCAUUUUUUUUGUGAAAAAUGUAAUGUGCACAUUUGUAUAAAAAAAGAAAGAAACUGUUUUUUAUUGUAUCAUAGAAAGUAAUUUUGUUUUGUUAUACUAUGCUUAUACCAUAUGUAUUCCAUUCUAAUGUCAAAUUUUUCUUUACACAUUUUUUUUUUAAAUAAAAAUGUAUAAUUUCAUCAAUAAAUAUGUUAUACAA